CCAAUAGCGUAUAUUAAAGUUGUUGCAGUUAAAAAGCUCGUAGUUGAAUUUCGGGAUUGACGUGAUGGUCAUGCCUUAAGGGGUAUGAACUGUUGCUGUUGAUUUCUCACCUUCUGGAGAAACUUGAUGUCCUUUAUUGGGUGUCUUGCGGAUCCAGGACCUUUACCUUGAAAAAAUUAGAGUGUUUAAAGCAGGCAUUUUUGCUCGAAUACAUUAGCAUGGAAUAAUAGAAUAGGACGGCAUGGUUCUAUUUUGUUGGUUUCUAGGAUAACCGUAAUGAUUAAUAGGGAUAGUUGGGGGCAUUAGUAUUCAAUUGUCAGAGGUGAAAUUCUUGGAUUUAUUGAAGACUAACUACUGCGAAAGCAUUUGCCAAGGAUGUUUUCAUUAAUCAAGAACGAAAGUUAGGGGAUCGAAGACGAUCAGAUACCGUCGUAGUCUUAACCAUAAACUAUGCCGACUAGGAAUCAGACGAUGUUAAUUUUUUAAUGACUCGUUUGGCACCUUACG
rnacentral:misc_RNA from 1 species